rnacentral:misc_RNA from 1 species
CUGAGUUACCGCUCUAUAACCCUUUGUGAACAUACCUAACUGUUGCUUCGGCGGGCAGGGGGUCCCCUCGGGGACGCCCUCCCGGCCACGCCCUUCACGGGGCGAGGCGCCCGCCGGAGGAUACCAAACUCUAUUUUAACGACGUUUCUUCUGAGUGGCACAAGCAAAUAAUU